AAGCGGUGGAGCAUGCGGUUUAAUUCGAAGCAACGCGAAGAACCUUACCAGGUCUUGACAUCCCUGACACCCAAGAGAUUGGGCGUUCCCCCUUCGGGGGACAGGGUGACAGGUGGUGCAUGGUUGUCGUCAGCUCGUGUCGUGAGAUGUUGGGUUAAGUCCCGCAACGAGCGCAACCCUCGCCUCUAGUUGCCAGCAUUAAGUUGGGGACUCAUACGAGACUGCCGGCGUCAAGCCGGAGGAAGGUGGGGACGACGUCAAGUCAUCAUGCCCCUUAUGUCCUGGGCUGCACACGUGCUACAAUGGUCGGUACAAUGGGCUGCGAUGCCGCGAGGCGGAGCGAAUCCCAUAAAACCGGCCCCAGUUCGGAUCGGAGGCUGCAACUCGCCUCCGUGAAGUCGGAGUUGCUAGUAAUCGCGGAUCAGCACGCCGCGGUGAAUACGUUCCCGGGCCUU
rnacentral:rRNA from 1 species